CAUUUUUAAGGCUUAUCUACACUAGAUACCAAUAAUACAUAUAAAUAAAAUAAAAAAACUACGACUUCUGUACAAGUUUAUAGAGAAGAUAAAGAAUGAUCCUUACAGAAAGUAUGAAGUUUAUUGAUUUUAAAACAUAACCUUUUUUUUCUUAUCGAGGUUCUCGAUAGAUUAUUUAUACAUAUUAAGUGAAUUUCUCCGCCCUUGUGGCUCUAAGCACGCCUGUAUUCAUCUCCGCAGUCGCCAAUAACUUUUUGAAGAUCUCUGCCCUUGUUUGUAACUUGUAGGAUGUUGCUAAUGUCUUCUUCAUCAAGAACAAGAGAAAACACAGCAUUGGCAUCUUUAAUGUGUUGCGACAGACCGAGCCGAACACCUAUCAUUGAUCCUGCCACAGCUGGCUGAUCCAGUAUGAAUCUCACAGCAACUGUUGGAAUGGAGACUCCAUGUUUGUUGGCAACAGUUUUUAGUGUCCUGAGCAACUCUUGAAAGAGGCUCCACCCUCCCCAAGCAUCAACCAUCCUUUUGUACUUCUGUAGUGAAGGAGUGUUCAAUGCAGGGCCAGCAAAAGGUAUCGUUAAGUUGGUAUCGAGGAACUUUUCAGAUAAUAACCCUCCCAUUACUGUUCCAUACGUUAUAAGUUUGACUCCUGUAAGCUGACAAAGCUCAGCCAUUUUCUGUUGAGGACGCAUGUCAACAAUUGAAUGUUGUACCUGAUUGCUAACAACCGGAAUACCAUUUUCCAGAAUGAUCCUUAAUCUCUCGGUGUCAAAAUUAGUCAGAGCAAUGGUCUUAAUCUUGCC
rnacentral:misc_RNA from 1 species